GCCCUUGGCUGACCUCCACGCUCUUCCUCAUUGUCGGCUAGCUCCCUCAUAUUAAUGCUCAUCUUCCUGGGCUGCUAGGGUUAUCGAGCUGCCCAAGACCGACUUGAGCUUUUGAAAAUCCCUAACUCCGGUGGACAUGGCUCACUUCUACACUUUACCACUAUGUCAUUUGAGGUCUCAUUUCUUUCUAGGAACAUGAAAGAUGAUCCAGCAGGGCAUCAGUUAUACCGGCUUCUAACUAGCAUGCAUGACGUUUUCGAACAAAUCAGCGAGAAAAUUCUCUCAACUGACAGAGCUAGAAGGGAAGUUGCUGAGCAUGAGAAGAAACUUGCAGCUAUUUCCUCUAGGACUCUUGACUUUGAUGCGAAUUCAAGUUAAACCAUGAGGCGUGGCUUAACACAGUGAAGCACAGAAUAGGAGUUCGUAAUUCCUCUCAGGUUCUUGCAGCUAUGAAUGCUACACAGGACAACAUAAAAUCUUUGUACAAAGUGAGGACAGAAAUGCGAAUGCAUUGAACAGUUAAAUGCAUUGAACACUUAGUUGAAGGUGCUUCUCUAGUUUUUACCAUUCACAUAAUUUUUAAAUAGCUUAUAAGAUACUAGUGACAAUGUAAAAUACCGAAAAUGGAUGAAAUACCUUAACGGAAUUUUUCAAAAUUUUUAGAAAUUUUCUGAAAAUUUAUCGGAUGUUGUAUGAUGUAAGUUACAGGGAUAAAUAUUGGGUCACGACCCACGGGAAAGUCUGUUUAGGCU